rnacentral:lncRNA from 1 species
AUGCAAGCUUGCUCUGGUUGCCUUGAAAUUCUUAACCUGUUGUGGAUAAAGAACACUAGUGCGGUCCUGUAUCCAUGCAGAAUGAUUGCUAGGCAGCAGGUGCUUAUCAACCAAGGAUGCUACGAUUGUGUUCCACAAAAUAUGGGUUCCCCUGGCAAACUGCUGUAUAAAACUCUUAAACAGGAUUUGUCAGCCCCUCUGGACUGAUUAGAGGGACAUCUUUAUCUGAAAGGAACUCCAGGCAACUUACAUGAAGAUAGCUCUUCAUUUUAUCCCCACCACAUUCCUAUGAGGUAGGUUGGACUGAGAAAACGUGAUACCAUGUGAGUUUCUACAUAUAGCUGAUGUUAUACUUAAACUUACAUCUCCCCUGUUCCUCUAUUUUGGAAUAUUGAUCAAGCAGCUGUCAAGAUACGAGAAGGGAUAUCUAAUUUAACAUUUCCAUUUGCUUUGGAUAAUAACUGCAAUAAUUUUCAGACUCAAACGCACUUUGCUAAAUGAAACAACAAUUCAAAGAAGCCGUUUUGACCAUGACUCCUUGGUGAUUGCAGGAAUCAAAGCAUCCAUAACAAAUAGCUGAGCAGCUUCUAUUUGACCACAUGCAACGAUACAGCAAUAUAUAGUCACAGCAUAGCUUAUAGCCAUCCAG